UACGUAGGGUGCAAGCGUUAAUCGGAAUUACUGGGCGUAAAGCGUGCGCAGGCGGCUCGGAAAGAAAGAUGUGAAAUCCCAGGGCUUAACCUUGGAAUGGCAUUUUUAACUCCCGAGCUAGAGUAUGUCAGAGGGGGGUAGAAUUCCACGUGUAGCAGUGAAAUGCGUAGAGAUGUGGAGGAAUACCGAUGGCGAAGGCAGCCCCCUGGGAUAAUACUGACGCUCAGGCACGAAAGCGUGGGGAGCAAACAGG
rnacentral:rRNA from 1 species